UACGUAGGGGGCAAGCGUUGUCCGGAUUUAUUGGGCGUAAAGAGCGUGUAGGCGGCCAUGCAGGUCCGUUGUGAAAACUGGAGGCUUAACCUCGAGACGUCGGCGGAAACCAUCUGGCUAGAGUCCGGAAGAGGAGAGUGGAAUUCCUGGUGUAGCGGUGAAAUGCGUAGAUAUCUGGAGGAACACCGGUGGCGAAGGCGGAUCUCUGGGCCUUACCUGACGCUGAGGCGCGGAAAGCUAGGGGAGCGAACAGG
rnacentral:rRNA from 1 species